ensembl:lncRNA
GUAUAUUCCUUACUAGUGGAUGUAGCUGGUCUUUUCUCUUUUGAUCUUAGGGAUCCUUCUGCUGCUGCUGCUGCUAAGUCGCUUCAGUCAUGUCCGACUCUGUUCAACCCCAUAGACGGCAGCCCACCAGGCUCCCCCGUCCCUGGGAUUUUCCAGGCAAGAGUGCUGGAGUGGGGUGCCAUUGACUUCUCCUAAGGAUCUUUCUAGUUGGUUGAAAAAGACCUAUUUUUAAAUCCCUUCAGUGACCUGUCCUCCUUGCCACUAAUAUCUUCCACAUCUCAGCUUGUUGUGAAGGGAUGGCCCAGGUGAGCCAAAACAGCUAUGCAUCUGCCACUCAGGCUCUUUCCCUAGGCUGCUUCUCAUUCUAACUGUACCAACUCCACCCAGUUCCUUAGGGUUUCUUAACUCCCUUCAGCAGACGUCAGCUACAUACUCUGGACUCAUGAUUCAGCUUGAACUGGGUAGGCACAUUUUUUUUUUUUUUUAAAAGCAAAAAAGAGGGAUACCAAUCAAAAGAAAAAAGAAAUAAUAAGAGUUUGGGGACAUUCAGUAUUGCAAUGGGAAAUUGGGGAACUGGGCUGUGGAGGGGCAUAUUCUCCCUCAGUGCAUUUUGAAUUGAUUUUCAGAGAUAGAGAUGGGCUCUACAAUAAGGGCUGAGUAUUACCAAACAAGGACUCCCUGCCCUAUGAACAGAGAAGCCCAUACUAUGGCAGUGGCUUUCAAGAAAAGAAAGAGCUUUACUGUGAGGUUGACAGGCAAAAAAGGCAUGAGGCAAAGCUCUCAAAUUUGUCUCCCUGAUCCAGGGUUAAGGUGAAAUUUAAAGGGCUAGAGGAAUUUCAAAUGUGGAAGCUGAUUGGCUAGUCUUAGAAUUAGUCCAUAUAGGCUACUAGUCCUGCUGGAAGCCAAGUUUUCCUAAUUGAAAAUUUUCUUGCUUGGUAAAGAGCUCCAGUGGCAACAUUUUCACUCUUUUGAGUUUUGUAGACUGAAGAUUCUUGAUUCCAGGGUAAUCUUGGGGAUGUGGGUUCCUGUUUUGCACAUGUCUAGUGCUGUGUCUCUGUAAAGUAACUUAAGAUCUGAUUAAUCAACAACCUGUGCAGCAAAACUCUUUUCAGCUGGUGCUGUUUCACUUAAUUGACAAGCUAUUUAAGGAGGCAAAACCGGUUCAAACUGGUGCACUUUCAAGAGAGAACAGAGAAGGGAUGCAGAGCUGCUGCUGACUCUCCACUUUGCUUUUUUUGUCCUACAUUGGAGGAAACUGGUGUGUUCAAACUUUGGUCUACUGGAAUCAGUUUGGAGGCCCCUACUUGCUUUUCAAGUAUUGUAGGAGGAAAUUAUAAGAGGUGAUGCAGACUCCUGAAUUCUGAAGGGAAAUGCUUCACUGAAUGGUUAUAAUUCAGCUCCAAACCUCACUGCCAUUCCCACAGUGACUCAUCGAGAGCAGGAGGAUGCUGGGAAAAUCUUUUAGGCCAUUUGGAGGAGUGCUUGAAUAAGUGGUUUAACACCUGUUCACAGACUACUCACCACCCUCUGACCCUCAUCCACCAAGCCCUUUGGUAUUUCAUGGAAGACUUUAUUGGAGCUGGCCAGUGUUGGGUGCCUUGUGAAUUCUAUGCAUAAUUUAGCAAAUUUACCAAUGUUUGCCACCAUGUGUUCUAGCCCUGACUCUGGGACUUCAAGACUCCAGCCAUAUUUUAGAGCCUUUGACUUUCAUUUGUCCAUCCAGUUCUGUAAAUAUUGACAAAAUGAGGCUCUUAAAUACAGUAAAAUGGGCUCAGAUGAAUAACAAAUCUAUAGUGAAGAUGCCUAAGUCUCUCAGUAAACCUCAAACAAAUCCUGGGAAAGUUUCCUAACGUAGUUUCUUUGUGUCCCUUUCCCACCUCCUAGGGCAGGGCAGAGAACCUGGAUGAGAGACAUGGAUAAAGGGAUAUUUUAUGAAAUCUUUUAGACACUGACAUUUCAUGAAUUUCUUCUUUUGAGUGAGGAAUGGAGCAAGAUUUUGCACUUGCCUUAUUGUUAUUAAUCCCAAAGUUAGGCCUACAAGCAGUGUCCUUGGGGACACAGUUUCCCUGGGCUUGGGGUGUCAAGUCAGCACAGAGGUGACAAAAUUAACUUUGGAAGUCCCUUAAUGCACCCAUACAGGACAGUGUUACUAGUUUUUGUGCCUAAAAUCCUGCAAGUAAUUUUUGUGUACCUUCAAGUAUGAGAACCACUGUGAGGAGGAACAGAGUAGGUGUGCAGCUCUGAGGAAUUCAAACCAACCUGUCUUUAAAAUCACCAUCAAAACCUUAGUAUGACUGGGGGAUGAGCUGGCAUUCCCAAAAUGACCCUGACAGCCUACAGGCUUUAGUCAACCCUGUUUUUAUAUUGAGCCUUUCUAACCUUAAUGCAGUGUUACAGAUUGAUUAUGAUUGCUAAGCUUAAACUAGGAAGCGGAGUCACAUCUCGGAGGACGGGGGCAGGGGAGAGUGGGUGGGUUUAGUCUCCCAAACUUGCAAGCCUGCGCUAAAUUAGACCUUGAUGCAGCUUCACUGUACUCAAGAAAGCAAUGGAAUUCUUGGGCAAACCAGGGCAGUUUGUGGAUAUAAAAUGACUUUAAAAAUUAAAUGCUGUAGUGAAUUCAAAUGUUCAAACUCAGAGUUCCUCAGAGUGGAGGAGAAAUCCCUAUAAUAGAGGCCUUUCUCUCUCCUUUCACUUCUCCCCCUCCAUCUUAUUGUAUCUUCAAUUAUCUGGGUAAUUUGGUCCUGAGGGCAUAAAUUCCUUUAUAACUCAAAUCCAUUAUGCAGAGAAGAGUCAUCAGGAAAUUACUCAGAUUGCAUCCCUGAUGGUGUGAAGGUUUUGGAGCAGAUCCGGCAUCCCAUUAGCAAAGCACUGCUCUUGAAUUCAGAUUUGAGCCUGGAGGCUGGACAUCCAUGCUCUUCCCUUCGCCCCUCUUUGUUUCAGCAAGGGCCGCCUGUAGGGAAGUCCCGUGCUGGUGCUGGCUGGCGGCAGCUUCUCUCCAUCCGAGGCCACGGCUGCUGCCAGCUUCCCUUGGCUGGCGUAGACACCUUCUCUCCAGGCCAGGGAGAGCCGCUGCCAGGCGGGCAGACGUAUGCUUUCAUCAUGUCUCACCAUCUCCUGGAGCCAGGCACCCAGGCCUUUUAAUUCCUGUAAAACUCGGGUCUUUCUGGUGGAGAGCUGGUUUUCAUAUCUGUGGCCUGACGGGGAUCGUCCUUGUGCUGCUGCUGGUGGUCUGUGAGCAGCCUGCCUUUGAGCUGACAGGCCCUCAACCAAAAUGCAAACAUAUUCAAGUUCAAUUUUGGAAGAGGACAUUCUAAGUCUGGCAACCUCUGUCAUCUGGCUUCAUUCUUUCUAGAUUUCUGGUUUACUAGGGAUAUUCAGUUUGGUUUUAUUAUUUGUGUAUACAGGUUUUCCCUCUCCCCCCGCCCCCACCCCUGCUCACCCCUGCAAAGUGACGACUUUGAGGAAGGCAGCAUGUAGAAGGAUCUUAGAUUAUGGUUCAGGCAGACCUGUGUCUAUUGCUCUUUGUGUCUUCCCUCACAAUUAAGUAAAUACUGUAAGAGAGAAUUUUGUGUAUUUCAAUCUCUGCUGUGUCCCCAGUGUCUGGCAUUGUGCCAGGCACAUAGUAGGUGAUCCAUGAGGAAUUAAAGUGCACGAGGAAAAGAAUGGGCUAGCAUGCUGUGCUCUAAUUAGCAGCUUUGUGAUUUUAGGAAGAAUUCUUUUAAAUGCCAUUUUUCAUUUUGUCACCUGCAAAAUGGUCAUGAAAUGUGUAAGACCAUAGAGAAAGUACCUGGCUAGUGCUGUGUUCAACAAAUGGUAGGGUUUCCCUCUUCCAUUUGUCAACCGUAGAGUGAACUCUUCAAGGACAAACACCUAGUUUGAUUCUCCAUUUCCCAGGCCUAGCACUGCUCCUGCACAGAGUGGGUGUUCCAUAACGACUUGUUGAAUGAAUCUAGUCCUCCAUGGGAAGCGGGUGCUUGGGGAUCAGUGAAGUUGACUACUGAGGACAGGCCUAGAAAAGUUACCUUUCUAUUGUGUCUCAUUCUGGUAUCUGUUUCUAUGUGAGGGAAAUGAAUAGAGAAUUCUCUCCAGAUCAUCUGGAUCUAUGGAUUAUGUGAUGAUUUGAAAAGGAAUUUUUUACUGAAAUUUCUUCUUUUCAGUCAAAAAAGACCACUCAUAGGAUAAAAGGCCAGGCCUUGCAGUGAUUUGCUGACCACACUCUACAUAUUUUGGAAGUUUGAUACUUUAUGUGUAAUUUCUUGCACAUUUGUAAUGUUAGGUCACGUGACCCAUUCCGUGAGUUAACACACCUGCUACUGUUACACCCAUUUGACAAGGAAGAAAAGUAGAGGCAGGACAUGGAGAUUUGCCAAAGUCAGACACUUAUUUAGUGGUGCUAAGUUAGAAACUGCAUUUCCUCACCCCAAACUCGCCUCACUAGAGCAUGUAGCUUCUGUGAGUAUUGAGCUGAAAGGAGGAUACAGAUGUUUUGCACUCCUGUUCCCUUUGUCAAUGUUACUUAUUUGCAAAAUCUUGCCUUUUUUUCUGUUACUUGACCCAAGGUCUGUAUCUGCCACACCACUUACAAAUUGCUCCAAUCUCUAUUUUUGUUGUUAUGCCUGACAUAUAGUCACUUUCUCAGCUUGCAGCUCAAUUAAUCAUGCUCGUGUAAUUUUGAAGGGAACUUUUGUGUUCGUUUAAAUUUGGAAGGUGUUGAAGAAUCACUUACAGCUUUCAGCACUACUUUCUCCAGAUAUGACCCAGCUGAGAAUGUCUAUUUGAUUUACUGUGUUAAGUUGUGUCUAUUUCGUUUUUCAAGAGGGGCUAGCCUUAUUAAUUUUAUUCUAUUUGGGGGAAUAAUUAAUUUUAUUCUAUUUUAUGGAAUCUAUAUUAUUUAUAAUUUAUUUAUAUUUAUAAUUCAUUUAUUUAUAAUUUUAUUCUAUUUGGGGGAAUAAUUAAUUUUACUCUAUUUUGGGCUUCCCUUGUGGCUCAGCUGGUAAAGAAUCCACUUGCAAUGCAGGAGACCUGGGUUCGAUCCCUGGGUUGGGAAGAUCCCCUGGAGAAGAGAAAGGGUACUCACUCCUGUAUUCUUACCUGGAGAAUUCCAUGGACUGACUCAUGGGUUGCAAAGAGUUGGAAACAACUGAAUGACUUUCAUUUUCAAUUUUGGGAAAAAAGAGAAGAAUAUAUUUAUUCCUAUAUCAGAAGAUAUUCCUAUGCUGGUAAUUCAAGGCCAAAUUUUUUUUGUUAACCUCUGAUAAAAUAACAUGUAAACUGAAUGCAAAUCAAGUGUGACCUAAGACUUAUUAUAUUAUUGACAAUUCUGGUCCCAUCCAAAGCCACAGAAGAUAAUAAAUUAAGUACUUCUUCACGUAGUAUUGGUGAUGUUCAAUGCAAACUCUUUUGAAGAUGAAAUGGAACAUUUUUAUGAAGAGGGAUGAAUGAAAUACAAUAAGCUACUGUGGAGAUAAUUACUAGAAUGGAGGUAAAAUAGGUACCUUGGUGAUUCUUCUCUAGUGUUGCCAUAGGUAUGGUCAUUUAGAUGCAGCAUGAUGCCUCAAGCUAUAGAAUGCUAGCUCAAGGGUACCAAAGUGUAGACAAUUCUAUACUCAGUUCAUAUG